GGCCCGUUGGUCAAGGGUUGAACACCUCCCUUUCACGGAGGUAACAGGGUUCGAAUCCCCUACGGGUCACCA
rnacentral:tRNA from 1 species